AGCUGAAACACCGGUUCUCGUACGAUCACCGAAGUUAAGCAAUGUCGGGUCUUGUUAGUAUAUAGAUGGGUGACCGCGUGAGAAAAAACAGGCGUUGU